rnacentral:snRNA from 1 species
UCGCGCUUGGUUGAAAAGCCA